UUUAUAUAGAAAAUAUAAGAUUUUUCCUGUGAAAAUACGUUUUUUUUUCUUUUUUUAUAAAUAUGAUUUUUUAAAGAAAAAACAUAUUAGAAACAACUUUUUGAGAAAAAAAUUAUAAAAAAACUAAAUUUAGGAUGAAUUCAUAAUAAAAUUCUAAAAUUUGGGCAAAUAGGGUAAAGUUUGGACCAAAUUUUUAACAAAAUUUAAAAUCUGGGCCAAAAGUGUAAAUUUUGGACCAAAUUUGUAAUAAAUUUUGAAAUCUGGGCAAAAAAUGUAAUUUUUGAAAGUUGGAUGACCUUUUGACGGGGUCAAAGGGUUAAAUUGAAUACUAUUACCAGUAUUUGGGAUAUAAUUGAAUAAAAAAAUAUAUAUGGACUAAAUCGAUUAUGAGGCAAAUAUGUAAGAACUUUAUUGCAAAUUUCCCUUUCUUAAAUAGAGAACAAUUGAGAACAAAUUGCAAUCACUCAUUUUAAAAAACGAAAUUUAUUAUUCAUUAUUUAGAAAAUAAAAAUAGCAUCCCACCUAUCCUAUCCCCACACCUCAUAAUAUUACAUUGAAGUAGCUCCACCAAAGACGACCGGACCGUCACCAACCAUCGGACUACCGGACCACCAUCGAAUCGACUGGAACACCGUCGGAGUGAUCGGACCACCAACAAAAUGCUGUUUCUUCACUCACUAUAGAUCUUCUUUGACAUCCUUUUUUCGCCCCCAUUCGUUCGCUCAUCGAAAACUACUUCCUCCCAUCUUCUUGAACUGGCGCCCCAAACAAUUUCAUUCUUCUAUCCUCUUCCUGAACCAUCUCAUUCCGCCUCUCAUCUUCCUUAGUUGGAAAGCACUUCGUCGGAAAGCACCUCCGUUUCGUAUCCUUUCUGAUCUCGUUUUCUGUCGGUUGCCAGAUCUGGUUUCAUCGGUGACGAAUCUGAAGCAGAAGGAAACCGUAUCUAGUUUCCGAUUCGGUUUCACUAGCCAUUGUAGUUGCAAUACAAAGUUUUCCCGAUCUGCUUUCAUCGGACAUCGUCAAAUUAUAUCUCAAACAUCGUCGAUUUGUAUCUCAAACACUAAUAGCCGGUAUAUCUCAAACACUUCCUUCUCAGAUACUAUUCGUGAUAUAUUGUCUUUACCAGAGGAGAAAAAUGGAUGAAUGUGCUCAUUUUUAGAGAUUUUCUUCAACUUCAUGUUGCCGGAGAUGGUAUCGAUCGAUGUCCAUUCCAUUGGUGGCCGAUUCCUUUUCCCUAAUGAGGAGUUGCUUUUCACGGCGAGCUUCACGAUGAGCAAUAAAAUACAUGCUCAGGUGAAAAAGAAAGAUGAUUAAGUGAUUGGAAGCUUGGAGAAUAAAAGAAGGUUGUAACAUGAAGAACUCGACGAGUUGACCCUCAACUCGACGAGUUGGUGAGAAUAUUUUUGAUUCAAGGAUGCAUUGUCGUACACGUUGCAAACGCGGAAUAUUGAAAAAACUUGUCGAGUUAUUCUAAAAAACUCAACGAGUUAGGUUGAUUUUUGGAAACUAUAAAUAGAUAACAUCUAUGCCUGAAACCCUAACUUUUGCUGAAGGCUAGCUGCGAUUAUUGAAGACCAGAAGGGUUCUUGAAGCUUCAGAUUUCGAGAAUUCAACAUAAGAGGCAAUUUAAAAGAGAAUCAAAGUCAAAUAAUCAUUCUUCUUUUCUUAAUCUUUGUUUUGAACCAUGUUUGAAUCAUUAAAUUUUGAUUUUAGGUUAUUACUUGCUUUAGAUAUGAGCUAAAAGCUUUUUACUUCUGUUUGGAUGAGAUGAUCUUAUGAAUGUGGUUUGAUUGAGUGGUUGGAUUAAUGUUAAUUUGGUUAUUCAUCU